AGGGUUAUAGUUAAACUUAUAACAUUUGAUUUGCAUUCAAAAAUUAUUUUUAUUAAAAUUUACCUUG
rnacentral:tRNA from 2 species